GCACUGUGAAGACCGGUGCCGGACUUCACACCGGUCUUCAUCAGACUGGUCUCACGCACGUAUUUCGUCUACGAUAAGAAACCUAUUCUGAAGAGGAUUCGAAGGCAAUUAGUGAUAAUUAUAAAUAGGGAUUUUUUAGGUCAUUUUUUGUGGGGUGGGGGAGGGGGGUAGCAACCGUAGCUCUUAGCCUAAAAACAAUUUUAUUCUCUGGAGAAGUCAAGCGUAGGAGAUCAAGCCAAGGAGCGUACAAGCGGUGAAGCAGAGCAACAAUUGAGAAGUUCCCUAGCUCCUAUUCUCUCUUUUGACUUUUUACUACAUUUUACUCAAUUCGCGUGGACCAACAGGGGUAUAAUUGUCACACUGGCUUAAUCUGCUGCAAUUAUUCACCGAGGAGGAGGAGUCCCUGAACACUUUCCCUUUUACAAAUAAUAUACAAGCUCUGCAUGCCAUUGACAUCUGAAGCAAGUAAAUCUGCAGUACUUGAUAAGGUAUCAAGAGGUUGGACUGUAUAUGUUACCACAAUCUGAGAGUCACUUUCUACGCAUCCACACAAGAGAUGCAUGGUGGCAUUCAGUCCUGCAGUGUAGUCUUCUUCUCCGCCAACUUUCCAAGCCUACCCACUAUAAAUCUGAUUAGAGACAUUUGCAAAGGUGUCGUUUCUUUGCAAAGUGUAGUCAGUAUCAUAGAAGUACCCGACAGUGCCAUUAACAUUUUUGCAAGAACAAGGUACAGUUACAAGGUAGUCAUUUCUGUUGUUGUCAGUGAUCGGCCUGAUUUGUGAUGUAUUCACCGAGUAAUAAGAAGCAAUCUGCUCUUUUUUAAAGCCAUUGUGCUGGUAAAGGUAAGAAUUGCACGUCUUGAUGCUGUUAGAGCAGGCAAAAGGAUAUAUACGACUAAUCUGAGUUGGGUAUACAGAAGUUCCCAUAAAUAGCACGCAGAGAGGGAGGAGAAAAACAAGGCAACCACAUUUCCUGGUGCCAGAAGCCAUAAGCAGCCUUGGCUGAGGUUUGUCUUGUGAAAGGAAGGAAGUAUUAUGACAGAAUCGCUAUGUAGAAAUUUCGAUGUUAACUACUUCCAUUUGUCAUUAUCUGCUUGAAGCUAUUACACGGAUUGAAUAUGUUUCGGUUCAUCUUUGAAAUGAAAAUCAACACAUCAAGAUAUGAUGGAUUUGCUGCCA